rnacentral:rRNA from 1 species
GAUGAACGCUGGCGGCGUGCCUGACACAUGCAAGUCGAGCGGCAGCGAGGGGUGCUUGCACCCUGUCGGCGAGCGGCGGACGGCUGAGUAACGCGUGGGAACGUGCCCCAAAGUGAGGAAUAACUGCCCGAAAGGGUAGCUAAUACCGCAUAUUAUCUUCGGAUCAAAGGAUUUAUCCGCUUUGGGAGCGGCUCGCGUCGGAUUAGGUAGUUGGUGAGGUAAUGGCUCACCAAGCCGACGAUCCGUAGCUGGUCUGAGAGGAUGACCAGCCAGACUGGAACUGAGACACGGUCCAGACUCCUACGGGAGGCAGCAGUGAGGAAUCGUCCACAAUGGGCGAAAGCCUGAUGGAGCAACGCCGCGUGCAGGACGAAGGCCUUCGGGUUGUAAACUGCUUUUAUAAGUGAGGAAUAUGACGGUAACUUAUGAAUAAGGAUCGGCUAACUACGUG